GGUAUACGUUUCCUCCGAUCUGUCCAGUACCGAAAGUGCUUCAACACAUGAAUCGAUACAAUUGUCAGCUAAUUCUCGAAGCUCCUCAUUGGCCAAGACUACACAGGUAACCAGAACUGCUAAAAAUGAUAUCAGCACAUUAAAAUACCAGUUCCAAAAAAUCUACUAAAUCAGCCAAGAACAAAAAUAUACUAUCCAAGCCCA
rnacentral:lncRNA from 1 species